rnacentral:misc_RNA from 1 species
CUUAACUGGAAUCUGUGCAUUGGAUUUGCUAAUUGAGUUCGAUUCAGCAACAGGUUGGUUCACAUUCUUAAAACUUCUGUUUUUGACCAGCUCAGAUGGCAAGUUUGAGUUUGUGGUCAACAUUGGACCAUGAUUGCUGCUUGUGUUUUUAUGUUUCUUCUUUCCUCCAUUAGCCAUGUAAUCGAAACCCGCGUUCUGACUGCUACCACCGAGACCAUGCAUAUCAGCUGAAACUACUCCUACCGCACUUCUACCAGUAUGAUUUUGAAGGCUAUUUAGGUUAUCAGGCAGGGGCAUUUGGUAUAAGG